rnacentral:lncRNA from 1 species
GGAAUAAGAAACCUGCAUUGGCUGUGCUUCGUCACUGAUUCAGGAGCAGCCUGUGGAAAGCGUGGCCUCAGCAUCAAUGUGGUGGUGAACCCAGAGGAGUGGAAACAAGGCCAACUAUUAUGCUCCCUGCAGCAGGAGACCUGAGUGGUGCAUUGUCCUGGCCAUCACAAUGGCUUGAUCAGGGAAGAAAUGCUGAGUUAUCCAUAAACUUCAAAGCCUGAGCAUGGCUGUGGGAGGCAGCUAAUAGACAACUCUGCAAAGAAUGGGAAUCAUUUUGAAAAGAAGCGUGGAGCUUUCACAAAAGAGAAGAGAGCUAGAGCAAUAAACAAUUUCUAUCUACACAAAGAGGAGCAGACACGUUCCUGUCUUGGACCCUUUAUUUUGGACUCCGGUUGGUCUGAAUUGAAACUGCCUUUUAGUUGGGAGCUACAGAAAGGCUGGGACCUUGAGAUCACAAUGGAUGCUUGUUACACGUGAGAUGAAAGUUUGAGGAGGAGUGUACAUCAAAAGAUGCUGCGUUGAUGACGUCAGAAAUUAUAUGCUGAGAGAGCCUGUUGCAGUGAAGAAGGUGGGGUUUGCCUCCCGCAGGUGAGGCCCUGCUCCAGCCCCAUGCCCAGUAUUACCAUGGCACUCACAAAAACACCAUUUAUCCUAUUCUUUGUUUUUUGCUGCCUGGGAACUCCUCGAAGGCAGGAUCUUGUUGAUGAUGUUUGUAUCAGCAGCACCUGGCAGAGUGCCUGGGCCCAAAAGUAGACUCCCAAAAAAUGUUUGCUGAAUUUAAUGACAACAUCUUGCAGGUUCUGUGACCACCAUGACAUCCGGUGCCCUGCUGCUUAAUAAAGUUCCGAAUGACUUCUGGAGAAUAGUAAAUGUGUCCCUAAACAUAGGAUAUAAUUUUACCUAAAAAUUUCAUAUACAUGUUGUGAGAUAAAUUGUGUUCCCCCAAAAAAGAUAUGUUCAACUCCUAAGCUAGUACCUAUGAAUGUGAUCUUAUUGGGAAAUAGGGUCAUUACAGAUGUAAGCAAGUUAAGAUGCUCAGUAUGGUGGACCCUAAACCCAAUAUGACUGGUGAGCUGAUAAGCAAAGGAGACAUAGAUAGGCACUCAGAGAGAAUACCAUAUGACAACAGAAGCAGAGAUUGGAGUGACACGGAUACAAGUCAUGGAACACCAAGGAUUGCCAGCAAUUCCAGAAACUGAAAGAAGGACAUGGGACAGAUUCUGCCCAAGAGCCGUCACGGAGACAGCAUGGCCCUGCUGACAUUGAUUUUGGACUUCCAGCCUCCAGAGCUGUGACAGAAUAAGUCUCUGAGAACUAGAUUUGAUCUCAAGGACAGGAAAAUGAAAAGGAACUCAUCAUGACUUCUGGGAUGGUUAAUAUUAAGUGUCAACUUGAUUGGAUUGAAGGAUGAAAAGUGUUGUUUGUGGGUGUAUCUGGGUGUUGCCAGAAGAGAUUAACUUUUGAGUUGGUGGGCUAGGAGAAGACCCACCCUCAGGAAGACCCACCCACAGUGUGGGCGGGCAUCAUCCAAUCGGCCCCAGCUUGGCUGGAAAAAGCUGGCAGAAGAAAGUGGAAGGAGCUGACUGGCUGAGUCUUCCAGCUUUCAUCCUUCUCCUAUGCUGGAUGCUUCCUGCCCUGGAACAUCAGACUCCAAGUUCUUCGGCUUUUGGACUCUUGGACUUACACCAGUGGACUUACACCACUGAAGGCCCGAGAGCCCCUGUCAACUUCCCCUGUCAACUUUGAGGGUUGGGGACUCAGACUGAACCACUACUGGCUUCCUUGCUCCUCAGCUUGCAGACGGCCUGCCGUGGGACUUCACCUGGUGACUGUGUGAGUCAGUUCUCCUUAAUAAACUCCCUUUCCUAUAUACAUCUAUCCUAUUAGUUCUUUCCCUCUAGAGAACCCUUACUAAUACAACAUCCAACUUCAAAUUGCUUUUUUUCAACCAUAAACCUUGACUGGAGGUCAACCAAGUAUUGGGUACUGUUCCAGGCACUUUAAUUAAAAAGAUAAAGUAAGGCACAGUUCUUGUCCUGAAAAAUAUCUGAUUCUUAGGCUGAAAACAGACACACAGUCCCAAAACACUGUGAUGAAUGCUUUAAAGGGGUUUUUAGACUUCAGGUACACCAG